CCGCUCCGCUCUCCUCUGGAGACCCAUCGCCGCGGAGCCAGGCCGGGCGUGCCGGAACGCGCGGGUCUCUCUGAGGAAACGGCUGCUCUGCCGGCGAGAAGAUCGUCUGUGACUCGGGAAAGAACACAUAAACUUGCUGAUGCCCAGCUCUGGUCAGGAGAAGCUGAAGAUGAAACUUAACAAUAUAAGGAAACUGAAGAGGAAGAAGGAAAAGAUGGCAGCUGAGGUGCAGACACUGGAGAAACAAAAACACACUGGAGAGUAGAAGCCAGAGAUGAAGCACGGAAGGAUCCCAAGGAAUGAAUUCAGAAGAAAUACGAACUGGCUGUGAAUGCAUCACAUGAGAAGAAAAGGAAGUUACAGGACUGGCUAUAGCAUAUUGUGAAGAGGGUGGCUUCUUAUAUAGAGGCCCAUAGAGUGACUCUAGGGGACUGUUGCAAGAAUACAGUCAAAAUACUGGCUGUGUAAUGCCAGGGUUAUGGUGACAGACUAGACCAGAUGCCGUAGAGGAAGAAAAAGGAGAAAGUACUGCUGGAAGACCAGAGAGAUGCACAAGGUAAAUUCCUUUUCCAUAGAAGCCUGUACUCAACAUCACUUCUGUACAUGACAGGUGCAGAAGAGGCAAAGCUUUACAAGGUAAUGCUGGCUGCUUGCAGUGUGGUGUGUACCCUGCAAACAAUUUAAGACAUCAAAAGCAUUUAAAACUGAAAUGGUCUUUACUGCUUCAGUAUGCUGCCAGUCCCUCCUUUGAUCAAUGAGUGGGGAAAAAAAAAAGGGAGAGCUUUUGUGUCCCUGGCCUGGGGAAGUGCAGUUCCUCACUCCACAACAUAGCAUGUUCCUCAAGAACUUGGCAAGAAAGUCUGCUCCUGUGUCAGAUGCCCGUUUAACCAAAGCAUGUUCCCAUGAAGGCACUGAAAUGUAAGGUUUAAAGUUUAAGUGAAGGAGAGGACUUGAUUUUAUUUACUACCUUACCUGUCACGGGGCACUGGUUCUCGCAUGUAACAAAACUGUGGUGUUCCCUCCUGCAGAUGGGUGAGGAAAAUCCAAGAGUAAUUCCAGUGUUGGAAGCAUUCAUGAAUGAAGAUCUUUUGACCAAUAAAGCAGAAAACCCAGAUGUGUCCAGAGGUAAAACUGGUUCUUCAGGGUAAGACUGUACCUGCUGUUUCUAGUACAGCUGUAAAAAACUUACCAUCUAGCACCACGUGGCUUCCACUAAGGACACCUCGUGGCAACUAUACACACCCCCAAGGAUCAUGGAGUCCAAUUCACUGUCUGCUGAUAUUUCAAAGCACUUUUUAUAUAAAUGGAUUUACCAGACAUAUUUAAUGUAUUUAAGUGGUUAAUAAAAGACUUCCCAGCACUGUUAAGGUGUUUUGUUCUGAAGAGGGACUAAAAACAGAACUGCACUUUCUUUUACAUACACAGACUUAUUUUCAGAGGCUCUUCAGUCAAGGCUGAGGCCUUGAAAAUGACAGACUUGGCAAGAUUGAUGCUUUUGGAAGAUCCUGGGUUUAAGAUACCAAGAAAAGAUUCCUGAAGUGUUCACUUGCACCUGUUCCAUCUGUCUAGAUACUACUGCACUUCCCCCUAGGAUCAAGCAUCCUAUGGGCUGGUUUGCUCAGGGGCACUUAGGGAUUAGGGGUAAAAUAUUAGAGAAUUACAGGUUUGAUCUCUGCUAAGCUGUGGAAACUAGAGAUCUGCAUCUUUCUACCGCAUCCCCCCGCCCCCCUUACAUAGAUACUGAAAACAGACCUCGCCUC